rnacentral:piRNA from 1 species
UCCUAUUAGCCCUAUAACACCCCAG